rnacentral:lncRNA from 1 species
AAAUGUAAAGACCAUCAAAUUACUCUGAGCUACGGGAGGACAUUCAAACCAAAGGCAAAGAAGUUGAAAACUUUGAAAAAAAUUUAGAAGAAUGUAUAAGUAGAAUAAGCAAUACAGAGAAGUGCUUAAAGGAGCUGAUGGAGCUGAAAACCAAGGCUCGAGAACUACGUGAAGAAUGCAGAAGCCUCAGGAGCCCAUGCGAUCAACUGGAAGAAAGGGUGUCAGCGAUGGAAGAUGAAACGAAUGAAAUGAAGCGAGAAGGGAAGUUUAGAGAAAAAAGAAUAAAAAGAAAUGAGCAAAGCCUCCAAGAAAUAUGGGACUAUGUGAAAAGACCAAAUCUACGCCUGAUUGGUGUACCUGAAAGUGAUGGGGAGAAUGGAACCAAGUUGGAAAACACUCUGCAGGAUAUUAUCCAGGAGAACUUCCCCGAUCUAGCAAGGCAGGCCAAUGUUCAGAUUCAGGAAAUACAGAGAAUGCCACAAAGAUACUCCUCGAGAAGAGCAACUCCAAGACACAUAAUUGUCAGAUUCACCAAAGUUGAAAUGAAGGAAAAAAUGUUAAGGGCAGCCAGAGAGAAAGGUCGGGUUACCCUCAAAGGGAAGCCCAUCAGACUAACAGCGGAUCUCUCGGCAGAAACCCUACAAGCCAGAAGAGAGUGGGGGC